UACCCAUCCCGAACACGACCGUUAAGCCUUCCAGCGCCGAUGGUACUUGGACCGAAGGGUCCCGGGAGAGUAGGACGCCGCCAAGC
rnacentral:rRNA from 1 species